CCUCCAUCAAUCCCAUCUCCCUCAUGGUCACCUGCGCCUCUGGACCCUAGCGCUCCUCGCUGCAGCCUGCAUCAUACCAGUUGCCCCGACGUCGGUGCGCCUUGCCGCAGCCAGCACCUUGUCGAUCGGCUGCCUCGACCCCGGCACACCCACACUGCAGCCUGCACCUUGCUGUCUUCCUUGACCACGGCACGCGCAUGAUGUAGUCUACACAAGCGAGGGAAAAAGCGGGCUUAACUAAGUAGCAACCCUCGUGAAAGCCAGCAAGCUCAAAUUUGAUGGUCUACCAUAAGAUAUAGAAGCACGAGGAGGCAUUGGAAUUGCCAAAGCAGACAUCCAUGCCAACAAUGAUGGCGUCCCUCGACCGAAG